rnacentral:rRNA from 1 species
UACAUGUGGGGCAAGCGUUGUUCGGAAUUACUGGGCAUAAAGGGUGCGUAGGCGGUUUGUUAAGUCAGUGGUGAAAGUUUUCGGCCCAACCGGAAAAUUGCCGUUGAUACUGGCGAACUUGAGUGCGGAAGGGGCAACUGGAAUUCUCGGUGUAGCGGUGAAAUGCGUAGAUAUCGAGAGGAACACCUGCGGCGAAGGCGGGUUGCUGGGCCGACACUGACGCUGAUGCGCGAAAGCCAGGGGAGCGAACGGG